CAACAACUGUGAGUACUAUUCAUUGCUCAGGAUAUCAGGAGGGAAGAGAUUCAGUGGCAUUGGGCAGUAACAAAGCAGAUAAAGUGGCUCGGGAAAUGGCUAUGCAGGAGCCUAUCCUGGUUGCAGGCCUGCCAGAGACAGUCACUGAGAACUAGGAUCGGACUAAGGGAUGGCCUCACUUAGAAAAGGCCCAAACUGGGGCUGGAGAGAUGGCUCAGAGGUUAAGAGCACUGUCUGCUCUUCCAGAGGUCCUGAGUUCAAUUCCCAGCAACCACAUGGUGGCUCACAACCAUCUAUAAUCAGGUCUGGUGCCCUCUUCUGGCCUGCAGGUGCAUACAUGCAGGCAGAAAGCUGUAUGAUGUAUACAUAAUAAGUAAAUAAAUGUUU
rnacentral:lncRNA from 1 species